rnacentral:tRNA from 1 species
UUGUAUGUAGCUCAGUGGUGGAGUGCUUACUUUGCAUGUGUGAGGCACUGGGUUCAAUCCUCACCACCAUAUAAA